rnacentral:rRNA from 1 species
GAUGAACGCUGGCGGCGUGCCUAAUACAUGCAAGUCGAGCGAACAGACGAGGAGCUUGCUCCUCUGACGUUAGCGGCGGACGGGUUAGUAACACGUGGAUAACCUACCUAUAAGACUGUGAUAACUUCGGGAAACCGGAGCUAAUACCGGAUAAUAUAUUGAACCGCAUGGUUCAAUAGUGAAAGACGGUUUUGCUGUCACUUAUAGAUGGAUCCGCGCCGCAUUAGCUAGUUGGUAAGGUAACGGCUUACCAAGGCAACGAUGCGUAGCCGACCUGAGAGGAUGAUCGGCCACACUGGAACUGAGACACGGUCCAGACUCCUACGGGAGGCAGCAGUAGGGAAUCUUCCGCAAUGGGCGAAAGCCUGACGGAGCAACGCCGCGUGAGUGAUGAAGGUCUUCGGAUCGUAAAACUCUGUUAUUAGGGAAGAACAAAUGUGUAAGUAACUAUGCACGUCUUGACGGUACCUAAUCAGAAAGCCACGGCUAACUACGUG